rnacentral:lncRNA from 1 species
UUGGGAUCGCUUUUCCCCUUUAGACUGCAACUGCAGUAUUUCUGUGUAGCUUAGUUACUUUGCAUGAGAAAAUUCCAGCUGAUGACUUUAUCUACAAGGCACAAAAUCACAUUAUACAUCAGCUGUAAAUAUUGUGAAGUCAAACAACUUUUAUUUGAUUUAUCCACAGUAGGAGAAAAGAGAAACACAUGUCUAAAGUGAUUCUUUGGAGUUAAUAUCAGAAGUGCCAGAAGAUCAUCUAAUAUGCAGUUCAUCAUGUAGUGAUUUGAACAGCAUUUGGGAGCCUCAUGUGACUUCAUUGAAGGAACACCUAUAAACAAACACUGCUUAAAGUGUUUUGCCUAUGAGCUAACAAUGUCAGUGAUGUCUACAGAGAGCUAAAGCCACUCGAAGAAUCCACAGCAACUUCUUUUGGUCAGUGAACACAGGGUGAAAUUCAACAGAACUGCUUUACAGUGAAGGUCUUGAAGCCCACAAGAAACAUUCUUCUGGACAAAUUAUCGGGAGGUCAAGAGAAGAAUGCAUUUGCCAGACCAAUAGCUGCAUAUCAAGUGCCAGAGGAUGUGGUAAAUUGCUCAAGCAAUGAAACCGGUUCUGGUACCGGAGCUGCAAUUGGCAUCACCACCUGGAGAUUUACCAUAGAGUAUCACAGAGCUCUUCAAGGAUGCUGGGGCUCCCCUCACAAAAUUGUUUCUUACAGUCACAAUGCAAGGUAUGUUCUCUGGACUCUCCCUGUGUGUAUAAGCAUGUCUUACAUGACAAACACACUCUGACAUUUUAAUCUCCCUUAGCUUUUGAAUUCCUUCCUCUACAGUAUCUCAAGGAAGUUAUGGCACUUUAAGUGCAUAUACUUUUGUUUCGUGUUUCAGCCAACCAAAUUGUUGGAGGCCUUUCUAACUCCUAGAGCUGCAACCUUAAAUCCAUAAUCUCUGCUUCAUGGGGCCAUAUCAAUAAAUUCACCCUGACUCAACUUUACAUUUCUUUUACUGUUAGCUUACUUCCUUGAUAUCCAUUUCAUAGUCCUUGCACUUCUGUUUGUAUACAUCAGAGAAAUCACAUAGUCCUUUUGGUGCAGUUUCUCAUGAGCCAUACUUUGUACCUUACCUUUAGGAGCUUGCUUGCUAAGACUUAAGGUUAGUUAUAGGUCUAGAAGAAAAGAGGAGAAACACAGAGGUGAUUCCUACAGAGAAUCAGCAGUUUUGGAAGGCAGCAACCUCAGAAGACGCCAUUACAGUUUCCUCAGGCAAAGCAGGGUCAAACAAACCCCAUAGACAAGAGCAGAGCAGCUUCUUUCUACUGCUAAAGAAGAUGCAUCUGAAUUUAGGAGUUCAAUAUCUCUACACUCAUCUGGAUCUUCCUAUAUGUUCCCAUUCAAAUUUUUAGAAUCUUGUUUCUUCCCAACCAACGCCUUUAACAGCAAACACUGAGAGGCUGGGAAUUCAGUUUGUGUUUUAAUUCAGCCACUUGCAGGAUGAGAUUCUGGGUUAAGUUUCCACCAAUCUCAAGUCUGUGGCUACAGAAGAUCAGAGUCUUUUUAAGGGCAGAGAGAGAAUUUUAAGUCAUUUACACAGCACUUGGCUUGGAAUUCAAAUUAAGAGGUCAUUCUUUUCUUUCUCCACUUUCUCUAGUAAAUUAGAAGCAACCAGCCAGUCUCAUUAUACAUAUUAGUUAGGAAAAAUGUUCAAAGGUAUCAUAUACAUAGACCCCUGAAACCUUGUUUAUAAGUAUUUGAUUAGGAGUAUCCAGUGGUGAUACUUUAUUAAUCUCUAUUGCUGCAUCAUGCUUUGAACUAUC